UACGUAGGGAGCAAGCGUUGUCCGGAAUCAUUGGGCGUAAAGCGCGCGUAGGUGGCUCUAUAAGUCCGUUGUGAAAGUCAAAGGCUCAACCUUUGAAAGCCGAUGGAUACUGUAGAGCUAGAGUCCGGAAGAGGCGAGUGGAAAUUCCUGGUGUAGCGGUGGAAUGCGCAGGUAUCAGGAGGAACACCGGUGGCGAAGGCGGGUCUCUGGGCCGUAACUGACGCUGAGGAGCGAAAGCAUGGGGAGCGAACAGGG
rnacentral:rRNA from 1 species